rnacentral:rRNA from 1 species
CCUACGGGUGGCAGCAGUGGGGAAUAUUGGGCAAUGGGCGCAAGCCUGACCCAUCAAAGCCGCGUGAAGGUAGCAGGCUUUCGGGUUUUAAACUUCUUUUACGAGGGAAGAGAAGAAGACGGUACCUCUUGAAUAAGCCACGGCUAACUACGUUCCAGCAGCCGCGGUAGUACGAAGGUGGCAAGCGUUGUCCGGAUUUACUGGGUGUAAAGGGCGUGCAGCCGGGAAGACAAGUCAGAUGUGAAAUCCCGCGGCUCUACCGCGGAACUGCAUUUGAAAUUGUUUUUCUUGAGUACCGGGGAGGUCAUCGGAAUUCCUUGUGUAGCGGUGAAAUGCGUAGAUAUAAGGAAGAACACCAGGGGCGAAGGCGGAUGACUGGACGGCAACUGACGGUGAGGCGCGAAAGCGUGGGGAGCAAACAGGAUUAGAUACCCUUGUAGUC